rnacentral:rRNA from 1 species
UACGUAGGGGGCAAGCGUUGUCCGGAAUCAUUGGGCGUAAAGCGCGUGUAGGCGGCUUGGUAAGUCCGCUCUGAAAGCCCGGGGCUCAACCCCGGGAGGCGGGUGGAUACUGUCAAGCUCGAGUCCGGAAGAGGCGAGUGGAAUUCCUGGUGUAGCGGUGAAAUGCGUAGAGAUCUGGAAGAACACCAAAGGCGAAGGCAGCAUCCUGGCUCGUAACUGACGCUGAUGUGCGAAAGCUAGGGGAGCGAACGGG